rnacentral:rRNA from 1 species
AUGUGUAUUCACGUCAAAUAUAACACAUUGGUCCGAUCAACUAUAUCUUCUAUCAAAUCAAACAUGUUAUCAUCCGAUACGAGUACCUUCACACUACAAAUGUACUUUCACAAUAAAAAUGUAACAGCUACUAUAUUUCUUCUCACCAAGACCUCUACUUUCGAAACUGACUUUUCUUUCACAAAUAGUGUUCGGAAUAUCCACAAAGAGACCUCUUCAUUCAACGUACCCCAUAUUUGCGAUCCUCAAAACAUAACAAUCAGCACAAUUAUUAAGACAAGGGAAAAAAGUUAUCGUACAAUCCACAAGUAA